ncrna:unclassified sequences DTF805b RNA
UAGGCGGAUUCUGAAAAGCCUGAUAGAAAGAGUAAGAG